rnacentral:lncRNA from 1 species
CGCGUACUUGCGGCGCAGGGAGCGGCUGACGUUCUGCGUCGGGUACCCCAGGAGGUGGGUGACGCGGCUGCCGCGCCCGCUGGCCUUGCACCCGGGCGCCACGGCGUCCUCUCUGUGGAAAACAACAGGCGGGCGGGUGAGCGGGCUGCUCCGCAGCGGGGCGUGGGCACGGCCUGGGCAGAGCCGGGGGCUCUUGGCAACCUCUUGUCUCCCGCGCCUCCCUCCACCUGCCCUCGUCUCUCUCCCUCGGCCUCGACCUACUGUCCUUUGUGACCCUUCCUGGGUCGGCGACCCUGCAGCGGUCCCGGAGCCAGCAUCCCCAUCCUCCAGACAGGGCUUGUCCACGCGUAUCUGGAGAGCCCUGCAGGCAGCCCCCUCCAGGCCCCUGCAAUCCCUUUCUGAUGUUUCGCAGGCCCAGAAGAAGGCCCCUCCGCCGACCCCGCCGCCGUUGCCGUAGCCGAAGGCACCGCGGGCGCCGCCAGCCCCGGAGCCCCCGCAGCAGCAGCAGACGAGCCCCCAGAUGCCUACGGCCAGGCAGCCCAGCGCGAGCAGAGAGCCCAGGACGAUGCCGAUGAUCACGCCUAUACGCCGGGAGUCUGUGGAGAGAAGUGGAGGCAGGUCAGGCUUUCUCACAGCCUGCUCCAGGCCAAGAGAACAACAGCUCAUUCCUGAGAUAAGGAUCCUGCUGCCAUCUGCCAGAUCCUGAGGCUGCUCAAGGCAAGCCAGGGAUGAGCCAGAACUCGGCUGAGAGCAGAGGCUCCACCCUGGAGAAGCACCGCUGGAAGCACCCACACAGGAAGGACUCUCUCCAUGCCAUAGGAGCCUGCCAGGCAGGAUGCACUAAGGAAGUACUACAGGGAAUGUGAGAGGAGAGGCUGGAGAGAGGGAAGAAAGGCAAAGUGGAAGAGAGAGCUGGAUGGGAGACUUGAGGAGAGACAGGAAUGGAGGAAUCACAUGGGCUCUCCAAGGAAGAGGACAGUGGUGAUUCUUUGCCCCCCAAAAGCACCAGAAACUGGCCAUGCUUUACGGGGUGUCAUCUCAAUAGUGGUGCCUACUCUCUGCUUGCAAAUUCUUUCUGAAUCUUCAAGGUGCUUCCAGAACUCCUGAUCUUCCCUCUGGAGGUAAGGGAGGGGAGAAAAGGCGGCUCCAGCUGAGGGUAUUGAUGCGUUAAUGCAGCCAGUGCUGAGUUGUCCUCACACACCCAUUGACACACCACACAGGGGGAAGUCCGGGUCCCCACAGCACAGCUGGAGCCUCCCGAGUGGACUCUGCCAGCCCUGCUCUCAUCAGACAGAGAAGGGCUGCAGCUAUCCUGCCGGAAAUGUCAUCAUUCCCAUGCAGGUGCACGCACCCACACACUCACAUACACAUUCACGCUCACACAAAGGCUGAAAAUGUCACCCCGCCUUCCCAAAUUCCUCCUUCAUGCCCCUUCAUCCCAAAUCCAGACUGCAAGAGGGACUCGGAGCCCUUUCCAGUGAUGUUGGCAUAGAAUGCCCCUUGGUGGAACUUGCCCCAACCUGGGCAGGAAGCCACAAUGUCCAAACUUGAGCCCUGCCCUGUGGACCUGUCCUGGUGGGGUGAGAAGUCUCUGGAGUUGCCAUCCCCACCACCCUCAGGCCUCAUCCUAGAGUGGGGCACUGCCCUGUCAUAGCACAGGGGGCCCAAGGCUGAGGUCUCAGGCCUGAGCUGUCACUGGCCAUGAUGGAAGAAACCACUCAGACUUACACCAGACUUAGUCUCUUGCCCUUUCAAGGCAAGUGACUUCCCUGCCCCUUGGCCCUGGCCUUGGGAGAGAAGGAGUAGCGUUGGGAAUAGCACACAGUCUGAUGAAAAUUGAUCCUUCCCAAGCUCCUCCUGAGCCCUCACCCAAUGCCCGUGCUUACCCCUCUCCUACCCCACCUCCAGCUCCUGCAGAGCAAUCAAUCCCUCUCCUCCUAGUCACGGCAUGAGCUUGCAGGGCACCUGCACACAUGUGUGAGCCCGACAGGGGACAUAUAAAGAUCCACUCAAAGACCUCUGCACUACAGACACACACCCUGAACAUCAGGCACAGGGUCUCCUGGGGAAAGGUCCCCUGGUAAUACCCACACCCGGCUGCAGCAGGGCAAGGGUGGGCAGCACCCUGCCAGGCAACUCAGGCAGCCCCAGGCUCCACUGUGAGCCCUUGCUGCCCCUUUCCUUCCCACCUAGCCUCAUGCUGGCUACCCUGCCCCCUGCCCAGCCCCGUACCUGGGCUCAGGCACACGAGUAGAAGGUGGAAUGCUCCUCCAACUCUCAUGUCUCUAGGCUCGGUGUUUCCUCCGUCUGGGCUGGGUAUCCCGUGGGGUCGUAGUGGUGGGUGUGAGGGGGUAGGUGGAGGGAGGGGGAGCUGAGGGCCCAGACACUGCCUGGGGUGGCAGGAAGGUGCAAUGAGUGCCCAGCUGGGGAGCAGCUGGAGUUAUUUCUAUGGGAGGGAGGGGGCCUGGUCCCCGCCUUGGGGAGGAGUCCCAGGAACCCUAAUUAGCAGGGUGACAGGGUGGCCUACCUGGGCAUUACCCAGCCCUCACCCAAGCUCUUCCCUGUCCUAAGAGUGGCACAGGACAGCCAGCGGGACUUGUAAUUAGGCACCUGUUAAACUUCACUUCCUCCUGGCCACAUCCUCAGGGUGACAACAGUCACCUCAUUUACAGCUUCCAAGGGCUCCCCUCACCACUCAUUUGCUGCCUCCUUCCCUGGGGGAAGUGGGGAAGAGGAAGGAGAAGCCAGGCUUGGGAGAAAGAGUGGCCAGGACCUGAAGAGUUAAUCCUGAUCCCAGGGCAUAGGGUUCCCCAGGAGUGUCCAGCCCACCUUCCCCCAGGCUUCAGGCCUUUCAAAGGGACUCAGGCCUCCUGAGCUGAAAGAGGAGAGAAGGGGUGUGUGCAGGAACAGAGUCUCCUCCUGGCUGUCCCCUCUGGAACUGUCCUCCACACCCAUACUCGACUCAAGGCCAUCCCCAAGUGUAGGGGACCCCUGGGAGCAGGGGUGCUAUGGGGGGUCCAGGGUGUGUGCUAGGAGUAAGGUGACUGAUGGGCUAGUGAGGGAGUGUUGGAGAGAACAGCGCCAAGAGGACCAGGGAAGGGGGUGCCUGUGUAAGCGUGUGCACCCCUCAGCAAUGUCUGUGGGAGGGAGGCAGGAUGUCUGUGUCAGGGUGUCUCUGUGAGGAUGGCUAAGCCCCUCUGAGUGAACUUCUUGAGGGAUCGCUUGGUGUCCUGGCUUCUCUGCCCAGAAAGAGUAGCCAGGUCUUGAGGGUUAAUGCAGUCCCAGUAUUAACUGGGUCCUUGAGACCAAGGACCCUCAUAACCUGGACUGGUCAUCGGGCUGACUAAACCAGCACAGUUCUGGGUAAGUUCGUGCUGGGGUGGGGAGGGUCCUGGUAGGCAUGGGGAGCAAGUGAAGGGCCACCCCUUGUUGGCUUGUCUAAGGGGGACAGAAUGGGCAUGUGCCUUGUUGGACUCCAUGGUGGGAGUCAGGACAUGAGUGACCCCAUUCAAUAGCUCAACUCCCUCAAAGGAGUCAGGGACUGCCCCCAUCCCUACCAUGGGGCACAGAAAGGGCAGAGGAGGAAGAGUGUUAGGGAGAGUUAUGGGGCUCAGGGAUGCUGCCAGGGCCCACCCCUCUGGGGAAAAAUAAGUCAGAACAUUAAGGAAACACAAGGAGUCCACGCGUCUCUGCAUUCCAAGCCGUUGCACCUGAACUCCCAACAAUAACAGGGCGCUCUGAGACCUACCAGAUGUACACAAUGAAUAUCUUUAUUUCCUUAUUUAUUUUUAGGUUUAUGGGAUUGUCCUGCUCCCUUUGAAGAGCAGGGAUCAUUAUCCCCAUUUUACAGAUGGGGAAACAGAGACCUGGAGAAACAUGGGGAUUCAGCCAAUGCGGCUGGUGCCUAAGCUGGGAUACCCAGGUACCCAGGGUGUCAGUCCAGAGAGGUCCAAAAAAUGGUCUUGGUGAUCCUGUGGAUUACUAGACCCACUCACGAACAAGAACCAUGGAAGGUCAGGGUGAGUGGGAGGGAAAACAGGUCAGACCACGAACAGAGAGAUUGAGGAGAAAGCAGUAACAUUGUGGUUCCACUAAACUACAGUGCAGGCUUCAGAUUUAAUUGGGUUCUGGAUGUGGGCUAAUGUUAGAGCUGGGGUUAAGUUUGGGGUUAGUUGAAUUAUGAAUGAGGUUGAGGUCAGAUUUGAGGUUGGGAUUAGAGUUAAGGUUGGGAUUAGGGUUAGAAAUACAGCUAGAAUUGAGGCUCAGGUUUAUGGCUGGGAUUUGUGUUACGAUAAGGAAUAGAGUUUUAGUUUCAUUUACAGCUCUGCCUGGGAAUACAGUUAGGGCUAAAUCAAAGGCUGGGUUUAGAUUGAUUUAGCAUUGGGUUAGAACUAAGUUUGAGAUUCACAUUGAAAUAGGCUGUGGUUAGGGUUGGAACAUGGUUUAAAGACACGUAAGCAGCGGGAGUUGAUGGGGAUCAAAGAUGAGGUUUUAUUUCUAAUAUAGAAAGACUUCAGCCUCCAUCUGCUAAAUCCAGGUUUGGCUAGAAUUUUCAAUCCUUAGUGCGGGGAGACUACUAAUGGCACAUGUUGAUUGGGGUCCCAAGACUUGGAGGAGGAAGCCAAAUGUACACGAGCCCAUCUAAGGGGUAUGAGGCAACUAAAUCCCAUAGAGAAUGGACCCUCUGAAGUCCUGCUCCACUACUAAAGCUCACCACCUGGCCAAGCUCCAGAAAAACAUCUGGGGAGGAGACGCAGGAAGCUACUGACAAUGAGUUGGGCUCUGACACCAAACCGAACUAGAAGAUGGGGUCCAUCAGAGGGAGUCUUACUGAGUGGGGAGGAGGGGUGGUCUGGAUUUGGAGUCCUUAGGAGAUGGGAGUUGGGAGAAACUGAGGGCCUACAUGCUCCUAGAACAGCCACUUUAUGGGGCACCACAUGGGGGUCUUUCAAAGCCUGAAAGGGCAGAGUGCCAUUGUUGUUUCCCCUUGACCCUCUGAGGCUUAAUUGCUACCUUCUUGCAAUUUGAGUCCUAUAAAAGAAGCUGUCAGCCUUCCAGCCCUAAACCCUGAGCCCUGCAGGGUUUUCAGGGAGGGCAGCAGUGGGGAGGCUGUGGAUGGGGUGAAGGCACUGGGGUGUCAGCAUAGUUUCCAAAGCAUAUGUCACAGUCCUACAGUCCCCUCCCUCUGGGCCCAGCUCACAGUCCGUGUAAGUCUCUGGGCCUUAUCCUCAGCAGUGGAAGAGGGCCCCACUCCUAGGAAGACCCCGUCCCAAUUCCUCCCUCUCAUUUUUCCCCAACCAGUCUCCAGCCCAAACAUCUCAUUUCCCCACCCACUUCCUUUUCAGGUUUUAUAAAGGUCUGGUCCAGGAGACUACUGGGGUUCCCCCUGUGACCCCAGAGAGAGAGAAGAAAGAGAUUGGGAGAGAUAGUGAUGAGUUAAGGGGCAAAGACAGAGACAGGGACAGAGGCAGACAGAAAGACACAUGGUCUAAAUGGCCCCUCCAGAGACUCAGAGGGAUACAGAGGAGGCAGAGGGCCCAGGCCACGAGCUGGGAACCAAUACAAAUUUCCAAAAGGGCCCCUUGCUUUUUCCUAAGAAAUCCAUGACUCUCCAGGGAAGAAUGGCCCUGCUUUGACUGGUAUUUGCUUCUAUUCUAAGACAGUAACAGAAAAUCAAAGACUGGCUUAGAAAGGAGUAAACAGGGAGAUACAGGAGGUAGGAAGAGGCUGGACAAAAACUCAGAGAAGGCCACAGAUUGCUUACCAGAUGAAGUGCAGCCCAGCCCCAGAACCUUUCUGGGAAGGACGGACAGAGGGCUUGGGCUGCCUACUCUUCCUCCAAAGCCUAUUCUUCCUCCAAAGUCCCUUUCAUGGCAACUCCACCCCACUCCUCUAAGCCCUGCCCUCCCCUGCCUGUACUUGCCCACCCCAACCCCUCUCAGUGGCCGCCAGACUCCCUGGGCUCAGGCUCAAUCAAGCUCCCCACAACCCCUGCCUUGGCUGGCACUGCAAUUUGACUCAUUCUAAACUCCUCCCCACACAGUCAGCAAGCUCCUCAGCCCCCUCUCCCAAGUCCCCAUGUAGCCCAGGGCUCACCCUGCAGCACCCAGGGAGGAGCUGUCCUGCAGAGGAAACCUCUGAGGUAAGACUCUGGGAGCAGAAGCUGUGAGUGACAAUGGAUAGGCAAAGAGUCACAGAGAAGCCAAGGAGCCUUGCAGCUGCUGUCUGUCCACCCAGCUUUCAGUGAUGAUUUGGAGGUGGAGGUCUGCCAGCAAUGUCCUGAAGCUGACAGACUCAGAAGAGCAAGCAGCACACACAUAGUCCCCAUCAAUUAAAGGAGUGGCUGGAGUUGUCACUACAUCAACAAAGCACAAGAGCAAAGGGAGGCGAUUGAAUGCCACCAACUGAAUUGUUAGCAAGAGAAUGAGUGGAGGCGAGAAGAAAUCGCUUGUAAAGGCUAUGUGAUUCCCUGAUGACAGAUCUGAGGAAGAAUGAAGAGGCUUUGAAGAUAAAGGUAUCUUCACCUCGCCAAGAUCAACCACAUCCUGCAGAACCUUCAUUCAUUCAGCAAACAGCCAGGCUUUGUGCUAGGCCCUGGGGAAAUGGCAAUUAAGGAGACUCAGUCCCUAUCCUCACAGAACACCCCAUCUGACACGGAAAUAGCUCCUGGCCCGCAAUGUGGUAAGAUGCAGUAAUACGUGCAAGGCCCCUGACUUAGUGGCAAUGAUGUUUAAGCCGAGAUCUGAAGGAUAACUAACAACGGCGUGCCAGAGAAAAGAGUAGCGGGUGGAGAGAGGAGGCCAGGGGAAUAUUUCUGGGCUUGGUAAGUAAGCCAGGUCCCUGCCAGACAUGGACUGAGAAGAGCAAAGCCAGGAGUGACAGCUGACGAUUAUUUUUUAACUGAGGAAGGAAGAUCCUUGAGAACGGAACCUCUUGGGACCUUCUACCCAGAACACCAGAGCACCUCACUGGGAUCAGAGCCAGGCCAUCGGGUGGAUUAAGCAACUAAAAUUGAUUGUCCUGAACCAUGAGUCUGUCUGUUUAUGGGGAGAGAAACUUUGAGAUGAAUUAAUCCACAGGUCCAAUGGGACUUUGACAUUUUAAUUUGUAGAAAUAAAACUUGCCUUUGAUUUUGCCAUCUGGAUUCCCCAAACACGUAUCUACAGAGUGGAACUGUGGUGCCCCUUGACCUGCAGGGUGGCCCCAGGCCUGCCUUGCCCCGCUGGCAGUUGCCCAGGAAGGUGUGUAGGAG